rnacentral:rRNA from 1 species
UGGGGAAUAUUGCACAAUGGAGGAAACUCUGAUGCAGCAACGCCGCGUGGAGGAUGACGCAUUUCGGUGUGUAAACUCCUUUUAUAAGGGAAGAUAAUGACGGUACCUUAUGAAUAAGCACCGGCUAACUCCGUGCCAGCAGCCGCGGUAAUACGGUGGGUGCAAGCGUUACUCGGAAUCACUGGGCGUGAAGGAUGCGUAGGCUGGAAAUCAAGUCGAGAGUGAAAUCCAACGGCUUAACCGUUGAACUGCUCUCGAAACUGGUUAACUAGAAUAUGUGAGAGGUAGAUGGAAUUGGUGGUGUAGUGGUAAAAUCCGUAGAUAUCACCAGGAAUACCGAUUGCGAAGGCGAUCUACUGGACUGUAACUGACGCUGGGGCGCGAAAGGGUGGGGAGCAAACA